GGCCCGCUCCCAAGAUGGCGGCGCAGUGCGGCUCCGUCGUCUGAGGCGGCGGGGGCGGCCUGCGCUCCCGGACGCGUUCCUCGGCCUGCUGGAGCGGCGCGAGGCGGCCGAGGGCGAGCGGCGAGCCGCCGGCGGCGGGCCUGACCCCGGGGUGGAGGUGCGCGAGGCCUCGACGUCGCGCUCGGGCUCGUCGUUCUCACCGGCGGCGUCGCUGGCCAGCAGGAUGCCCAACAUCAAGCUCUUCAGCGGUUCCUCGCACCAGGACCUGUCGCAGAGGAUCGCCGACCGGCUGGGCCUGGAGCUGGGCAAGGUGGUCACGAAGAAGUUCUCCAACCAGGAGACGUGCGUGGAGAUCGGCGAGAGCGUGCGCGGCGAGGAUGUCUACAUUGUCCAGAGUGGCUGCGGCGAGAUCAACGACCACUUGAUGGAGCUGCUCAUCAUGAUCAAUGCCUGCAAGAUCGCCUCAGCCAGCCGAGUGACAGCUGUCAUUCCCUGCUUCCCCUACGCCCGGCAGGACAAGAAGGACAAGAGCCGAGCGCCCAUCUCUGCCAAGCUCGUUGCCAACAUGCUCUCGGUGGCCGGCGCCGACCACAUCAUCACCAUGGACCUCCACGCCUCUCAGAUCCAGGGCUUCUUUGACAUCCCCGUCGACAACCUUUAUGCCGAGCCGGCUGUUCUCAAGUGGAUCAAGGAGAACAUCGCCGAGUGGAAGAACUGCACCAUCGUCUCGCCGGAUGCUGGGGGGGCCAAAAGGGUGACAUCCAUUGCCGACCGCCUGAACGUUGACUUUGCCCUCAUCCACAAGGAGCGCAAGAAGGCCAGCGAGGUCGACCGCAUGGUUCUGGUGGGCGACGUCAAGGACCGGGCAGCCAUCUUGGUGGAUGACAUGGCCGACACCUGCGGGACAAUCUGCCAUGCCGCCGAAAAGCAACCCCUGUGGUCAUCCAGCCCAACCCGCUUUCCCCCGCAGGCUCCUCUCGGCGGGCGCUACCCGGGUCUAUGCCAUCCUGACCCACGGCAUCUUCUCCGGCCCGGCCAUCUCCCGGAUCAACGGCGCCGGGUUUGAAGCUGUCGUCGUCACCAACACCAUCCCGCAGGAGGAGAAGAUGAGGCAGUGCCCCAAAAUCCAGGUGAUUGACAUCUCCAUGAUCCUGGCCGAGGCCAUCCGCCGCACGCACAACGGCGAAUCCGUCUCCUACCUGUUCAGCCACGUCCCGCUAUAGUUCCCGACCCCGGCGCAUGAAUUCCCCUUUGGGGGAAAAACCAGUCCUCUGUGCAUGUACAGAGUGCUAAGUUGGCUUUACCCCACGAUUCCCCCUUUUUCGAUUUGGGGUGCCUGGCGGGUGGGAAUUCUAGCGUGGGUCUAAUUUGGGGCUCAUUUUAUCUACUCGUUCCUCUGGUCCUUUCACUUCCCCAAAUUUAAAAGCCCAUUUAAAAGUAUUUAUUGUUCAUUUCCAAAGGGGCUACCCAGUACCUUGGUGUCGGAGUUACAAUUCCCCGCCCCUUGAUUUGGGGUUUCGACGCUAUGACUCCCAGCCCCAAAUCCCUCUUUUCUCGUACCCUGUGCUUGUUUCCUUUACUGGAAAAAAAACAUUUUUUCACGAAUCUGGGCGUCUAGUGUUGGCGCUAGAAUUCCUCCCAGGUGCCCAGUGGCACCACAUUCAUUUCAUUCUGUCUCCUGUCACCCCCCAAAUACACUUACUUUUGAACUUUGAUCCAGGCAGUAGAAUUCCCUCUAGGCGCCUAGCAACGCUAUGACUCCCCUACGCCCCAUUCAUUUUGUUCUGCCUCCUAUCACCCCCUCAAAAUAGACUUAAUUUUGAGCUCGGAUUCCCCGCCCUCGCGUCUAUUCAUUUCAUCCGAUCCCCAUUAUUCCCCCCC